AGGCGUUUUGCUCUUUCACAGCUUCAGCAGCAAUUGUUGCACACAAAGAACUUUCCGAGUGGCUUCGCAAUUCCAAGUAGUGGAGUUUCGGGUCCUACAGACCCUUUCAAACGUCUGUGUGCACUACUAGCGGUAACACCGCUACGAAAGGGACAGGCGGUAUUUUCUUCCAACUAUUUUUACGUCGCACCUCUCAAGAUCUGUAGAUUUUGAAGAGAGUAGCUACGAGCACCAGCGAGAAACGUCCCCCUCAUGAGCUCCAACCGGAGGGACAGCCGGUACCCGGGGAAAGAGAACAAAGCCUCCACAAGGAUGAAACGACGCAUCUACUGAUCUACAGACACACAUUAACUGAAGAUUUACCUGAGACCCUGUAAUAUGAAGACAGACAGAGAAAAGAACGGGAUAGAAACAGUCCCCUGGAAGGAAAGAACAUUUACUGGCAACUACAGUAGUGUGUGUGGGGAGGGAAAAAACAGGCUAAACUACUCUAAGCUCACCAUCUCUACACUGAUUGAUAAGAUAUUUAUAGGGACAUAAAACAUCACUAGUACACACUAUAUGAACACUGAUCACCGUUAAAAAAUAUCAUAUAUGUAUGUAUAGGAUAUAACAAGAUAGUAAAGGUUAUAGUUUUGCCAAUUAUCGAAGAUAUAUUUUUCUCCCUCAUUCUAGUGCAUUUACAAUAAAUUGGGCUAAUUUUCUAUUCAGGUAAAUAAAUGUACUCUUAAAAAGCUCUAUUUUUAUUCUGCCCAAUAGGUAACAAAACUAUUUAAG